UAACGAUUUCAAAUGAAAACCGAAUAUGGAGCUGGAUACAUAAGCGCAACAACAAAUUUAACAAAGUUUUACAUUUCUUGAUUGAAGGAGAACGAAAGAAAAGGAGGGUGGGAUCGUAAAUAUUUCCGAAGAGAAGAGCUAGAACUCGAAAUAGAAAAUAAAAACCAAAACCCAUGCUAGAUCUACAAUAUAGAACAGUUACUAAUUAAAAACCAAUUUCAACGCAGUAUACUUUAACACUCAUUUCUUCAGCAUUUUGUGAUCCGACGAAAAGAUAAUCAAUUUCCUCAACUAAGCAUAACCAGAACAAUUUUCUAGACCUUUAAUUUAACAAAAGCUCCAGAUUUGCUGUUAUCUUUCAUUUUCCCUCAACUUUCUCGCCUACCAAACAGGAAUAAGAGUACCUUGGACUUAAAAUUGGAAGGG
rnacentral:misc_RNA from 1 species